AUACGUAGGGGGCGAGCGUUGUCCGGAAUGAUUGGGCGUAAAGGGCGCGUAGGCGGCGCGGUAAGUCUGGAGUGAAAGUCCUGCUUUCAAGGUGGGAAUUGCUUUGGAUACUACCGCGCUUGAGUGCAGGAGAGGUUAUCGGAAUUCCCGGUGUAGCGGUGAAAUGCGUAGAGAUCGGGAGGAACACCAGUGGCGAAGGCGGGUAACUGGACUGCAACUGACGCUGAGGCGCGAAAGUGUGGGGAGCAAACAGGAUUAGAUACCCUGGUAGUCCACACUGUAAACGAUGAAUGCUAGGUGUAAGAGGUAUCGACCCCUUUUGUGCCGGAGUCAACACAAUAAGCAUUCCGCCUGGGGAGUACGGCCGCAAGGUUGAAACUUAAAGGAAUUGACGGGG
rnacentral:rRNA from 1 species